GCCCAAGCCUUAGGCGACCUAGGCGGUCGCCUAAGGCCCCGGCCCAAAGGAAGGCCCCCACCUAGAGUCUGUAUCUACAGUAAAUUGCAAUCACUGAGCCAGAGCAGCAGCUACGUCGACAAGACGUGGGAAGAUGAGGGUGUCUAGAGUCGUCGUCCGCCCGUCCCAAUCCCAUCACCCACAGCGAAAAGCUAUAAACCUACGCUACGCCUCUGGCAGCCUGGCUCCUCUGGGCUCUAGCACUAUGCCUCUACCUCAUUCUGCUUCACCGUCUUCGCCUUCGUCGUGACCAACAAGGGCGAGCGGGCGAGGUCGUCUCCGGCCGGCCACCGGGGUUACAACUUACAAGGAGUACCACUGACCGCGGGCCCCUCCCCCCUCCACUUGCAGUCAAGAAAGGCUUCUUUUGUGUGAGCAAAACCCAUUCCAAACUCUCCCCACUAAAGCCAAAGAGCAGAGCAAAAGGAGAAAGAAAGAAAGAAAGAAACACUGUGCUUCUUGAAAGCAAAAGGGAGGUUGCAUGAUGCCGUUGGACCCCAUACGAAAUUUGUGAGGUGCCCAAAGGGCUGAAGUGGAGCUGCAGAAGAGGAAGGAGGUCAUGCACUACGUCACCCUUCAUGAGAUCUAUGUCAUCAACAGCAGGUUUGGACCGUUUGGUGAGCUCGCUUUCUCUCAAAAAAAAUUUUUUGUUCCUUUUUCUUUUUAAUAAAUGCACUGUGUUGAGAUGGUGUACAUUUUUUAGUUUUGGGGUUUGAGUAUUCUAAUUUUUAGUUGUCUGGACUUGUAUUGUACAUGAUAUGUUUGCUUUUAUUCCAAAGAGAAGUCUUUGGUUUUUGGCGCUUCAGUGCCACUCAUA